AACCCAAGAAAAACUCUAAUGCUGUUCUAGAACUGGUGAAAGUGAAACCCUACAAAAGUGAAGCUGCUCCAAUGAUCUUCUCAGCAGCGCUCUCCAGCGACUGAAAUCGAAAACAACGAUCUGCGUGACAAUCUUCUCCAGCGCUGCUCCGGUGACGAUCUUUUCAGUGGCGUUCUCCGACGAAUCGAUGCUUUCAAAACGGUGAUUCUGGAUCGAGGAGUUAGGGUUUUGAUUGAGAGCGAUGGGGAGAGGAAAGAUCGCGAUAAGGAGGAUCGACAAUUCCACGAGCAGGCAAGUGACCUUCUCGAAGCGAAGGAACGGUUUCUUGAAGAAGGCGAAGGAGCUUGCAAUUUUGUGCGAUGCUGAGGUUGGAGUUAUGAUCUUUUCCAGCACUAACUCUAUGAUUUCUCCAGUACCAGGUAAAGAAAAUGUGUCCAAAUGAUCCCGAUGCAACAAAGAAAUUGAAGAAAUGUGAAAAGGCAGUUAUGAAACUUAAAUUUGAAGAAGCCAUUACUGCACCAGAGUCUCAAAGGCGUUCAGUAGCUGAAUCUAUUCGCAGAAUGCUUCUAUGUUUUCUGAUCAUUACUGUCCUCUCUAUUCUGCUGUGAAACUUCUUGAUUGUGGUUCCAUGUGAGCUUUUUGAAGUGGCUAUUUUUGUUAUUUUCUGCAUGUUCUUUUUUCUGUCUAAUUGUGUGUUGAAAGUGGAAGCAAGCUCUAGCUACAUUCACCCAUCCAUCGAGAGGCUACAACAAUUGCAAGAAAGAAGUUUACCGGCCUGCAUCAGCUUUUGCCAAUUCUUUUUUUCCUUUUCCCUUUAAAUUGUCAAAUUCAUUUGUUUGGGUUCCCUUCCUUCUUCUGAGCUUGGCAACUUUUUUAUUUAAAUUUUAAGUUUUUAACUCAUGAUAUGUUUAAUUUGCUUGGUUUUGCAUAUGCAUAUAACUUAAUCUUCAAUGUGGCAAAGAGGUUGUCGCAGGAGAUUGAUGCAUCGCAUCAGCGAAGUAAAACAGGAUUUUUUUUUCUUCUCCUUGGCUUCCGCAAGAUUCUUUGAAGACUAAAGCCUCCUCUUCGCAGCACAGUGUAAAGAGAUCAUGAAUUUUGUGGUAGCACCAAGCUGAACAAAUUAUUUUCACUUUAAUCAGUGACUGGUGUGAUAUGAGUUUGGAACUGGAAGAAUUAUUGAAUCUGAUCUCCUCUUUUUGGUGUGAUCUUGCUGGUUUGGAAGAUGCAUUAGUGAAGCGUGUGAUGAUCACCCCAGAGGAAGUUAUUAAACGGAGCCUCGAUCCGCAAAGCACAGCAAUAAGCAGAGAUGGCUUGGCCAAAACAAUAUAUUCUAGACUCUUUGACUGGUUGGUGGACAAGAUUAACAAUUUGAUCGGACAAGACGCGACUUUUAAAUUUUUUAUUGGAGUCCUUGAUAUCUAUGGCUUUGGAAGCUUUAAAACCAAAAUCAACAGUUGGAACUCCAGCAUACAUUGCUCCGGAGGUUCUGUCACGAAAGGAGUACGACGGAAAGAUUGCAGAUGUUUGGUCCUGUGGUGUGACCCUUUAUGUCAUGUUAGUUGGUGCAUACCCUUUUGAGGAUCCGGAAGAUCCUAGAAAUUUCAGGAAGACUAUUGGGAGAAUAAUAGGUGUUCAAUACUCCAUACCAGACUAUGUUCGCGUUUCUGCAGAGUGUAGGAACCUUCUCUCUCGAAUCUUUGUUGCCGACCCUGCCAAGGCAAGUGGGUAAAGGUUGAGAGGAUCAAGAAGAGGAUGAAGAAGGGGAAACAGAGAAAAUUCCAAGGGUUGAGUUGGAUAGAAAGAACAGGAUGGGUUUUGCUUCUGCAGAAAGAACAGGAUGCGUUGUUUCAUGCUCCUCAUCAGGCAACAGUUACAAUAUCUCUUGGGAGGCACCGUUGGACGAGCCAGCGAAGCAAAGGAUGCUUAAGGUUAAGGAGCCAUUAAGUUUACUUAUGAUGUAAUUGCAAGGAAGUGGAAGCGUAACAAGAAAGGAUUUGCUCAUGAAUUUUGACAAUAUUUACCUUUGUUUAAUUUAAAGCUCUUGAAUUAUGAUGGAUUCCAUGACCGCAUUAUUCUAUUGUUAAUUUAAAGAAUAAUGUUGGCAUUAGGUGCUCCUCUUUUUAUCCAAUCAAGUUUCCUUUGAUUGUCUUCCAA